rnacentral:lncRNA from 1 species
GUAAAAUAUUUCUUUUCCGGAUCAUGUGUUUCACUGUGUUACUGUCUUACUUCCCCUAAGGCAAUGGAACAGCUGUCCUUAGUAAUGACUUCAUCACUCAACUGUCUGCUAUAUUUAAUUCUGAGUUCCCAGUCUAAAGGUAUUCUGCAUUUCUGCCUCUGUGGAGCCAAAAGAGCGUCAGAUUGCCACAUUGCAGUUCAGGGGCUGCUUUUUCGUGGCGUUCCCUCUGCAAGAGUGAAUGUAUGUGGCAGAGGACCAGACUUGAUAUCCCAUGGACAUUUAUGCAUGAAGAUGAACUAUCUCCCAAGUGAUCUGAAAUCUUCACUGGAGCUAAGCUGUCGGCUAAAUGUUAUACCUCUGCACUUUUCGUUUCAGUGUACAGAAAUGGAAUUGGUUGGUUACCUUCAAAGGGAUCCCUGAAUGUGGUAAGUUUGCAGGUACAGAAGCUUCAUACCUAGCUGAAAAUAAUGUCAGUGUGUAGAAAAAGAAAUGUUAGAUGACCUGCUUAGUUAAUUGAGCUUAACAUCAAAGCUACCUAUCAAAAUCUUUGAUAUCAAACCAAAGCAUCUUUCCUACAAUUUCUCAUGUGAGAGUCUGAACUUACCCAACCCCCAACCUGGAAGCUAGUGAAGUUGUGUGAAUUCACCCUACUUAAAAUACCAGAACAACAGUUUGCCUUCAAAAUGUUUAUCAUCCUGCAGGAGAUGGUCAUUAUUAUGUAUUGAUUUUUUCAAUGGCUUCAAUAGAAACCAAAGAUGUCCUAAGUCUGCUCUUCUUUUAUUCAGAUGGUUUUCAUAGCUAAAGUGAAGCAUAAAAGAUAGAUCUUUUACGUGACCCUCAGUGAAACUUUAUUACUUACUUACUUUGUUGAAUCAUUGAUCUGACUUGAAGUUACUUGAGGCUUGAUAUAGAACUAUGAACUGAAAAUAAUUCGACUGAAGGCACUGAAACUAGUAUAUAAUGGAUGUAGAAAACUAAUGAAGUCCAUAAAACAAGAAUGGAUUGAUACCUUAAAAGACAUCAUUAUGAGGCUGAACAAAUUUGAAUGGAAAAGAAUUUGGCUGAAGUGUUUCUCUAAGACUCUUGGGUGCUGAGAGACAACAAGAGACUGAGAAAGAAA